GCAUGCGGGUGGUUCAUUAAGUCAGAUGUGAAAGCCCGGGGCUCAACCUCGGAACUGCAUUUGAAACUGGUGAACUAGAGUACUGUAGAGGGGGGUAGAAUUUCAGGUGUAGCGGUGAAAUGCGUAGAGAUCUGAAGGAAUACCAGUGGCGAAGGCGGCCCCCUGGACAGAUACUGACACUCAGAUGCGAAAGCGUGGGGAGCAAACAGGAUUAGAUACCCUGGUAGUCCACGCCGUAAACGAUGUCUACUUGGAGGUUGUGGCCUUGAGCCGUGGCUUUCGGAGCUAACGCGUUAAGUAGACCGCCUGGGGAGUACGGUCGCAAGAUUAAAACUCAAAUGAAUUGACGGGGGCCCGCACAAGCGGUGGAGCAUGUGGUUUAAUUCGAUGCAACGCGAAGAACCUUACCUACUCUUGACAUCCAGAGAAGCCAGCGGAGACGCAGGUGUGCCUUCGGGAGCUCUGAAACAGGUGCUGCAUGGCUGUCGUCAGCUCGUGUUGUGAAAUGUUGGGUUAAGUCCCGCAACGAGCGCAACCCUUAUCCUUGUUUGCCAGCGAGUAAUGUCGGGAACCUCCAGGGAGACUGCCGGGUGAUAAACCGAAGGAAGGUGGGGG
rnacentral:rRNA from 1 species